GUGGCCUGUAUCUAACUCUCCCUCUCUCUAGAUUACUAUCGCCUGCGUGUGGUGGGAUUGGCUGCUGCCGCCAUCCUCUGCGUCAUUGGAAUUGUGAUCCUUCUGGCCGCUAAAUGCCGAUGCAAAUUCAACCAGAAAAGGAGAAGCGACUGAAUGCUAAAUGGG